UGAAGGCAAAGCAGGUGACAUUCCACAGGAAGAAGAAUCUGCAGUACUAUGAGAUAUCGGCAAAGAGCAACUACAACUUUGAGAAGCCCUUCUUGUACCUUGCUAGAAAACUGGCUGGGGACCAAAACCUUCACUUUGUGGAGACACCAGCUCUUGCUCCACCAGAGGUUCACAUUGACAUUGCUGAUCAGCAGAAGAACGAAGCCGAGCUCUUACAGGCGGCAGCCCAGCCACUCCCUGAUGACGAUGAUGAUGUCUUUGAGUAAAUCUUCUAAAUGUCUGCUGUGGGAAGCUCUAGCUUGUUCCUUUUGGUGUUUUCUCUAUGUUUGUUUUGGUGUUACAUAUAAAUCAAUCGAGUCUUUCUUAUAACAAAAAUUAGGGAAAUAUUUUUGGAUGGUUCUGUUGGUAUCCAAUGAAAAUAUUAAGAAUCAAGUGGGAAGAAUAGAGAUGAACAUGAUGAAGAAUAAAGAGAAAGAUGAUUGAUUUUUGAUGAGAUAAAAGUUACAAAUGAUUUGCGGCUGCACACGGUUUAUAUAGGGAGCUCACUAGGUCUAGAUGGGUAUGCACAUAACCUUAAAAGCAUCCUCAUUCAGCCUAGUGAGUCACCGUGCGCUUUUGCCACUUUCCAGCUCAUGACAACGGUCAUAUACAACACGACAAGGCCGUACACGCGCUUAGCACCCAUCCGGAUAAGGUUGGUCUUCUUCGCGCGUCCGUACGGUCCAAGAUGACCGUUGCCUUUCUUUCUCUUAUUCAAACUAGUUACUUGCAUAAUAUAAGAAACCCAUUUCACUCUUAACUAUUACUUAGUUAGAAUAAAAUGUCUUCUUGAUCAAUACUCCUCCUCAAGUUUAUACUACAAUAUUCAUUGUUAUAAACUUGACACUUAUGCGAGUGACCUCGUUAAAAAAAAACCUAAGAUUGGAAAACCACGUGGGACAAAACCAAUCUUAGGGAAAAAGAGUAUCACUGACAUAAGUAGGGAAGUUCUCUCAAGGGUGUGUGAGGUCUACAAGCCCAAGUUUGCCAUGAAUAAACUCGCAAAGUUGGGUACUUGCUGCCUUGGUAAAGAUAUCGGCCAAUUGGUCCGAACUCUCAGUGUAACAAGGUAAGAUAGUACCAUCUUCGAUCUUCUCUCUAGUCUUGUGGCAGUCUAUCUCCACAUGCUUGGUUCUCUCGUGAAACACCGGGUUGUUGGCGAUGUGAAUAGCCGCUUGGUUAUCGCAAUGAAAUGUGAUGGGCGUCUUUUGCUCUAUCCCAAAGUCUUUAAGAAGCGCCUUUAACCAUGUCAACUCAUUUGUAAGCUUCUUCAUAGCUCUAUAUUCCGCUUCAGCACUUGAACAUGACACCACCUUUUGCUUCUUUGACUUCCAAGUCACUAAGUUUCCCCCAAUGAAGGUGCAAAAGCCGGUUGUCGAGUGUCUAUCAUUACGAUCUCCACCAUAGUCCGCAUCACAAUACCCAACUAUCUCCGUGCUUGAGUUCUUUCCCAUCCAAAUGCCUUGGCCGGGGCUCCCUUUGAGAUACUUUAGAAUCCUACCUACCAUACUCCAAUGGUACACCGUGGACUCUUUCAUGUGUUGACUCACCUGAUUCACUGCAAAAGAGAUAUCAGGCCGAGUGUAAGUCAAAUAGAACAACUUACCCACAAGUCUUCUAUAUUGCUCCGGGCAAUGAUAUGGUCUAUCAUCCUUCUCCCCCUUUCGAUUGACCUUAUAUCCUGGCUCUAAUGGUGUUGAAACCGGUUUGGCUCCAAGCUUUCCCGUAAGUUUUAGAAGAUCGAGUGUGUAUUUCCUUUGUGAGAGAAACAGACCCUCCGGUGAUCUACAUACUUCGAUACCUAAAAAAUAUUUCAACACACCAAGAUCUUUAAUGUCAAAAGCAUUGUGUAAAGAGGUUUUGAUAGACUUAAUACCUUCCUUGUUACUCCCCGAGAUGAUCAAGUCAUCAACAUAGAUUAAGACAACUACAAUGCCUUGAUCAUUUUGGAGAGUAAACAAGGUGUGAUCGGAUUCUGACUUCUUGAAUCCAUUAGCCUUUAACGUGGAGCUUAGCUUGUGGUACCAAGCUCUUGGAGAUUGCUUUAGACCAUAUAUAGCUUUGCGGAGUCUUAACACUUUUCCCGAGGCUACCAAGUUCUCUAAACCCGGAGGAGGAGUCAUAUAGACUUCUUCUUCUAGCUCUCCUUGUAGAAAUGCGUUCUUAACAUCCAUUUGCCAUAAUUCCCAAUCCAAGUUAACAGCCAAAGAGAGAACCACUUUCACCGUAUGUUGCUUAGCUACCGGAGCAAAUGUCUCUCGAUAAUCAUCACCAUAUGUUUGUGUAAACCCUCUUGCCACUAAUCUUGCCUUGUAUCUUUCUAUAUCUCCAUUACUCUUGUACUUAAUAGUAAACACCCAUUUCGAACUCACACACUUCUUGCCUUGUGGUAGCUCUUCUUCGUCCCAUGUAUGAUUUCUUAACAUAGCUUGUACCUCAUAAUCCACCGCAUUGUCCCAUUCCUUGAUUCCCUUAGCUUCCUCAUAUCUUUGUGGGACAAACUCCACAUCUAGCUUGCUAAGGAAAGCCUUAUGUUCUUCGGGAAGAAGGUCAAUCGAACAUGUCGCUUGAAUUGGAUGAGCCACGGCUUGACAAUUGUAGUACACUCUAGUAUUCUUCCAAUUAGAUGGAGAUUUCUUCUCUCUCAUGCUCUUUCUUGGAUUCUCUCUAGUGUAGAUAGGAUCUUGUGUUGCUUGUGGAGCUUGUGGAGCUUGAUAUGUCUCAUCAUCGCUUGAAGAUUCAAUGACCUCCCCUUCAUUAGAUGGAUUCUCUUCUACCACUUCUUCACUAGACCUUUCUUCUCUACCAAUCCCUUGUUGAUUAUCCGAAGCUUCUUGUGAUAUGUCAUUACCCCUCUCUUGAGCUAUGUCAUUACCACUCUCUUGAGCUUCAAUAGUACUAUCAUUUGGUAUGGCUUCUCUUUCUUCUUGCCGAGAACAUCCAUUACUCAAAUGUUCAAGAAUAUGCCUAAGACUUCUAGCUCUAUCCGAAGUUGAAUUUGGUAAGUCUUUCACACCUUCCCAACUCUUCUCUCCGAAAUAAGCCUCAUCUUCCAUGAACUUUACAUCCCUAGAUACAUAGUACCUAUUCAUGACCGGAUCAUAGCACUUAUAGCCUCUUUGCGUUGUUGAGUAUCCAAUGAAUACACACUUAGUGCUUUUGGGCUCUAGCUUGUUCCUCAAGUCACCUGGGAUAAAAACAAAACACACACUUCCGAAUAUCUUUAAAUGAUCAAUGCUAGGACUUUGGUUAUUCAAAACUUGAAAAGGAGAUUGAUCAUUAAGGAUACGGGUUGGUAUUCGGUUUAUGAGAUAACAUGAAGUUAACACGACAUCUCCCCAAAACUGCUUUGGCAUGUGUUUCUCAAACAACAUAGCUCUUGCCACCUCCAUUAGAUGUCUAUUCUUCCUUUCGCCAACACCAUUUUGUUGAGGGUUGUAUGGACAGCUUGUUUGGUGUAGAAUUCCACAUUUUUCCAAGUGUGUUUUGAGCUUAGUGCUUGUGUAUUCAUUCUCCUCCAUUGUCUGUUCUAAGGAUCUUAAUCUUGGCAUCAAAGUGAUUAGUCACAUAAUUUUGGAAGUUUAUAAAUGCAUCAUAAACUCUAUCUUUAGAUGGAAGCAAGGUUACCCAAGUAUACUUUGAUUUCUCAUCUAUAAAUGUGACAAAAUAUUUAUGAUUAUCUCUAGAUGCACAAGGUGAGAUCCAAACAUCCGAAUGCACAAGAUCAAAGCAUUUUUCAUAAAUAGUAUUCGAUUUAGGAAAGACUACUUUACAAUGUUUUCCUAAGAUGCAUGCUUCACAUUUAGCACAAUCAUAAGAAAAACCCGGUAAAAGCAAAUUCAAAGCUCUAGAAUGAGGGUGACCAAGUCUAUUGUGCCAUAAAACAACCGAAGUUUUAACAUUGUUUGCAAUCAUAGAAGAAGCAACAUUAUUAGAGAUAGAGUUAAGAGAAGUGUCUUCAAGCACGUAGAGAUCAUCUUUAGUGCCACCUUGUCCGAACACAUUACCACUCUUAAUAUCCUGCAAUUUCACAUCAUUAGGACUAAAAAUAGCAAGGCAAUUUAAAUCUCUAGUAGUCUUCUUAACUGAGAGCAAAUUCGAAGUAAACUUAGGCAUAUAAAAGGCACUAGACCGUUUACUAAAUAGGUUUAUACUACAUAUUCCUUCAAUCGGCACAUUAUGACCAUUCGCAACUUUAACACUCCCUAAAGCCGGUUUAAUGUUCUCUAACAACUUAGGAUUACUUAUCAUAUGGUGAGAAGCUCAUGAGUCUAAUACUAAUGACUUUGAAUCAUAAGAAUUAGAAGUAAAGAGAGAGGUACCGCCGGGACUGAAUUUAGAUGCGAUGGAGUGAAUGAGAGCUUCGAGGUCCGCCUUGUUCAUCACAAUGGUUUCUUGACUUUGAGAAGAUGAUCCACAUCCCUUAUCUUGAAUCGUGGCUUGCAACGCCUUCUCUUGUUGACCAUACUGAACCAUAGCCCUCUCUUUAUUCUCUUGUCCACCGUCACUCGCAUUAGCCACAUUCGCCUUCGACUUAAGGUUCUUGAACUUCUCCGGCUUCAAAUGGGGGUGUAGAAUCCAGCAAUCUUCUUUGGUAUGACCCUUCUUGUUACAGUGAUCACAAACCGAUGCCUUCUUGUCCUUGUGUUUCACGAACCCCGCCUUGUUUGCCGUAGGUAGAUUUUCGCCUUUAGUGCCGAAUAGUCCUUGUGACCCAAACUCUUUUUGUAUCUUUGCACACACUUGCUCCAAGGUAGGAAUCUUGUCAUCCCUCAGAAUGUGUUGAAUCACAUCUUUGUAAGUAGGGUUAAGUGUCAUCAACAACCCGAAGACACGGUCUUGCUCUCGGCGAUCUGUAAGUGUUGUGGCUUCGGUGGUGAAUGGCCUUAGCAUCUCUAGUUCAGCAACUAGAGACCUAUACUUCCCAAAAUGAGCAUUGAAAUCGUUGUCUUCUUGACUUAGGCUUCCGAGAGUCUUCUUGAGCUCAUAUACCCUUGUCAAGUUUGACUCGUUACCGAAUACAUUAGCAAGUGUAUCCCAUAGUUCUUUAGAUGUCUCGCAAUAAGAGUACCCUUCCAAGAGUGAAGCCUCAAGAGAGAAAUGGAGAGCACUCUGAACCGUCAAGUCUUCUUGCGUCCAAGUCUCUUUGACCAAGCUUUCUUCCAAAGCUUUCGCUUCUUCAUAGGUAGACUCAAUGUAUUUUGUGAGCCUUCUCCCACCCAAUACAUUUGUCGUUGUUCUCUUCCAUAAGAGAUAGUUGUUUCCACUCAAAACAACCAGAAAUUUCAGAUCUUUGUAAGCCUUGCUCACGUCUUGAACCACAAGUGCCAUCUUGUAAGAGUAAAGAUUCGAUUUUGAACCGUUCAAAACUCAAAUCCGAGAUAAAGCUUCAACCUUUAGUGAUAAAGCUUCAACCUUUAGUUAUGAACCCAACCUGAACUACUUAGAAAACCUUUGAACCGCUUCAAAGAUACCCUAACUCUUAUCAAUGGAAUCCUCACCAAAGAUUUUAAGAAACUCUACCCCAAGAAAUCGCUAAGCAAAACCCAGAAAUAAAAUGACACCCGAUAUCGCACACCAAAGAUUAGAACUCAAAGAAGAAGAAUCGAAAAGCUAAGAUUAAAAGAGAAAAGAUUUAAGAACCGAACGCUCUGAUACCAUGAAAAAAUUAAGAAUCAAGUGGGAAGAAUAGAGAUGAACAUGAUGGAGAAUAAAGAGAAAGAUGAUUGAUUUUUGAUGAGAUAAAAGUUAAAAAUGAUUUGCGGCUGCACACGGUUUAUAUAGGGAGCUCACUAGGUCUAGACGGGUAUGCACAUAACCUUAAAAGCAUCCUCAUUCAGCCUAGUGAGUCACCGUGCGCUUUUGCCACUUUCCAGCUCAUGACAACGGUCAUAUACAACACGACAAGGCCGUACACGCGCUUAGCACCCAUCCGGAUAAGGGUGGUCUUCUUCGCGCGUCCGUACGGUCCAAGAUGACCGUUGCCUUUCUUUCUCUUAUUCAAACUAGUUACUUGCAUAAUAAGAAACCCAUUUCACUCUUAACUAUUACUUAGUUAGAAUAAAAUGUCUUCUUGAUCAAUAUCCAAAGCUAAGUUGUUUCUUCCCAAGAAUAUGAGGUGAUUGGAAAAUGGGUUGGCUGAUUUUUCAGUCCUAUACUAAUUGCAAUUUCAACUUUUCAACCCAAACUUUUUGUCUCUGAAAAAACCACCAUAAAAAACUUUAAUCUCAAUAAAACUACACGUACUUUCGGAUUUGUUCUUAAAACUACGCCUCCAAUUGAACCGAUCAGUUAACCGGUAAUAUCUAAUCCGGUUUGAUUUACCCAGAAUUUUGACCAAAGUUAAUCAAUUUUGACUCCAUUUUAACCCAAUUUUGAUCCAAAAACAAAUAUAAAAGAAAACAAAUGUCUUCUCUAUAAAUAAAAUUAUUAUUUUUAUUUAUUUAUUUUUAAUAAACAAAUAAAAAUAAUAAAUUAAUUUUACCAAAAAAAUAAUAUACCACAAAAUAAUAUGAAAGUAUACCACAAAAUAAUAUGAAAGUAUACCAGAAAAAAAUAUAUAUAACAAAUUUUUGGUCUAUACUUUUGUUUAUAUAACAAAAUAUACAACAACAAAAAAUAUACCAAAAUAGACCACAAAUUUUUUUUGUGCUAUAUNNNNNNNNNNNNNNNNNNNNNNNNNNNNNNNNNNNNNNNNNNNNNNNNNNNNNNNNNNNNNNNNNNNNNNNNNNNNNNNNNNNNNNNNNNNNNNNNNNNNUUGGUAAUAUAUUAUAAAUAUAUUUUUCUUUUUAAAAAAACAAAGGGGGGUUAUAUAUAUAUAUAUAUAUAUAUAUAUAUAUAUAUAUAUAUAUAUAUAUAUAUAUAUAUAUAUAUUAUUGUGAUUUUAGAAAGAAAAAUGACUUUUGAAUUUAUAAAAGAGAAAUGAUUGCCAAAAAUAAAAUGUAUAUUUUGAAUAUCACCACAAAUCAAAUUCAUUUUUAUAUAUAUAUAAUGAAUUUGGUAUAAUAUAUAUAUAAAAUUCAUACGCAUUUUUCUUUUUAAAACCCCCAUAUAUAUAUAUAUAUAUAUAUAUAUAUAUAUUAUAUAAAUAUAUAUAUAUAUAACCGACCUUUGAAUUUAUAAAAAAAAAACUGAAUCUAUAAAGAAAAAUGAAUUUAUAAAUAUCAUAAUAUAUACUUUGAUUUGUGGUGUUUAAGGAUAUAUAUAUAUAUAUAUAUAUAUAUAUGAGUUUUGCAUAUACUUUGAAUUUCAUAAUAUACAAAAUUCAAAGGUCAUAUAUUAUGAUUGCCAAAAAAAAUUAUUAUUUUAGUUUUUUGUAAUAUUACCAAAAGUAUAUACCAAAAUUUUAUUAUAUAAUUCUUUUGUGGUUUUUUUUUUUAAAUCUUUUUUUGAUAAAAUUACGUUAUAAUUUAUUAUUUUAAUUUUUUAUAAAAAUAAAUAAAUAAAUUUAUUUAUAGAGAAAAAAAAAAAUUUCUUUUAUAUUUGAUUUUGGGUCAAAAUUGGGUUAAAAUUGAGUCAAAAUCGAUUAAUUUUGGUCAAAAUUCUGGGUAAGUCAAACCGGAUUAAAUAUUAUCGGUUAAUUGAUCGGUUCAAUUGGAAGCGUAGUUUUACGAACAAAUCCGAAAGUACGUGUAGUUUUAUUGAGAUUAAAGUUUUUUUGGUGGUUUUUUCAGAGGUAAAAAGUUUGAGGUGGAAAGCUGAGAUUGCAACUAGUAUAGGGCUGAAAAAUCAGCCAACCCUUGGAAAAUUGAUUCUACCCACUUUUCUAGUAUUACCAGUUGAUAGAUUUCAGAUGCCUCUAUUUAGCUGCUAGGUGAUGUCAUAUUAGCUUCUUCAUGUUGGGAGGAGAUUGCGACAUGCAUCUCUUUUGACAUUUCAAGACCUGACAUACAUUGAGAAUGAUUAAGUUAUUUGUCUUCCCCAAUCUCUCUAGCUUUGCAGUUUCUUCUGCGAUUCCCUUUCUUUGCUUUUUUUUUUUUUUUACGUCAAACACCAUUUUAUUAAGUUAUCGGGAAGAAAAGACUUUCCUCUGGGGAGAGCCAAUCAGGAACCGAUGAGCUUACAUGGAAAAAGAUACAAUUACUGUGGAUGUCGGAUUCACACACUCAAGUAUUUUUAUUAAGUAGGAAAGAUUACUCUUGAGGGACAAAAAUGAAUAUGUAAAAACUUAUAAAUUGCUGCGAAAAUUGCUAUAGUAUUUCUUUCUUCAGAGGAAGAUCCCUUUUACAUGGCCAUUGGCCUUCAUAUUUAUACAUAGAGAAACGACAUUAAAAUGAGUAAUUAAGUACAAUUAUUCCUUCUUAAAUGUGUCCGUUUUGAUUCCUUGACUUUAAUGCUCAACGUUUGAAUUCGAGUUGACUCUGAUCCUUAUGGGCCUCGCCUUUCGGCCCAAAUGUCCUUGGACCGACUUUAAUCAUGACCUCGUCUCCGGACUCGUGUCGAGGUGCAGUCACUUCGAAUUCUCCUUAUGGUGGUUACCACUUCGAUUGUUCUUUUGACUCGUGGGUCCGAUGGGCUUUAUCCUUUAUGGGCCGCUACCCUGAUUACGUGGCAAUCUUUGGUUGGUCCUGGACCUCUGGUGCGGGAUCCGACACCAACAAUUAGCCCCCCAAGUUCUUCGAAGUGUCAUUCCAAUUCGGAGGACUUUAAAUGCUUAAAUGACCAAAGAUUGCGCUCGAAAAUCUUUCUGAUUUCCCGCCGAAAAUCUCAUCACUCCUUUAAUUUCGGCACUAGCCAUUUCUACUCGAGUGACAUCUGUCAUCAUUAUGACCGUAUCUUAAUUAUUUACUAUUAAAGCGGGAAAAAACCUUCCCACUUCUUCCACGAUUCCCAAGACGGUUUCAUGAUUAUCACCUAGCUUGAGGUAACUUUCUUUUUCAUUCUUUCUUUUACUCUUGAUCAUUGUGGUUAAAACUCCUUCUUCUUCUCUCUCCAAAUUUUCUUUUUUGGCGAAACUUGAAAUUCCCAAUGACUUCCGAUUCCGAUAGACCCGAGUCUCCGUCCUUCGAUGAGAGGCGUUCUAGCAAUGAUGAGUGCACCCGCCCUAAUGACAUUGCCGGUCCGCACUAUAGAUCCACCUGCACCCUUCAAUCCCUUGAGCGAUUGAAGGGACUCUGCCAAAUCCCACCGGGAAUUAUGGCAGAGGCGCAGAUAGCUGAUCCUACGGAGUCCCUAGAAAGCCACCGCGACGGCUACUUCUGUGUAUACGAGAUCUAUUUUAAAGGUUGCGGGCUGACCUUUCCUCUUCCCGAAGCCCUAGUUCGAUACCUAGCGGCUCUUGAAAUUGCUCUUCCUCAAUUAACCCCUAAUCUUCUUCGUACUAUCCUCGGAAUUAUAACAAUCGCGGCGGAGGCCGGAUAUGUUAUCGGAGUCACUGAACUAAAUGAGCUUCUAAGCGUAAGAAGUUCAUCGAAGAAGACGGGGUACUUCUCAGCGUAUCCGAACGCUAAUAGAAACAUCAUCUCGCACCUUCCAAACAAGGAUGAAAAUUGGCACCAUCCUUGGUUUCUGAUUAAGAAAACUCCCGCUUCGAUUGGAAAUCUUGCAAAUUUACUCCCAUCGAAGUGGUCUGCAAAGCCUGGUAGAGAUUAGGUCGCAUAUAUCUUUUCCGGUUGUUUUAUUAUCUUUAUUGACUAAAACUGUUGUUUCAUUUCGCAGCUUUCAUCGCUUCCAUCCUCCCAUCCGAAGGGUUCAUCGAAUUCUUCAAGAUAAUCCUCGAAGGGGAAACCCUUUGGAAUUCUUUCACUCUUGAACGAUUCCUAGAAGCUAACCACAAGCUCAGGAUGAGUCCACCGGGUCAACUUCACCAACUUCCGCCUCCUCCCUCAACUCAGGGGAUGUCAUCUCGGGCUUUUGCGGCCAAGCGUAAGGUGCUUUCCAAACCGGUAGCUGAGGCUUGUGAGGAGAAGAAAAAGUUUCUCGCGACUUCUAUAGAUAAGAAGGACUACAGUAGGACCCUGCUGGUUGAUGAUGGCAGCACCGAAGGAGCCAGAUCUGUUGCUUCUUUCAGAUUAACUCCCCGUCGUGAUCAUCGUGACUCACGUUCUCCUCGGAGGGACCGAUCUCCUCGCCGUGAUUCACCUCGUCCCCCCCGAGAUGUCUUUAGCAACAAACCACUUAAGAACUUGGUUCGUAGGAAGAGAGACAAGUCCUCUCGUAGUGAUUCUUCCCCGCGAAGGGAGAAGUCAAGGCCCCGGACUGACCGUUCACCUCGAUCAUCCCCUCCUAUUGAACCAAUGGGUCCUCCACGACCGGUUGAAAUGUCUUCCUCUUCCCUGCCUGAAAGUAAAAAGACUGCACGGAGCGCAUCUCCAACAAAAGGAGAUUCUGAAUCCCGAGAUGCUUCCUCGAGGUUAAAGCCUGCUCUUGUCCCUCAAGUCAAAUCGCUUUCAGGUUUGAUGAUUUACACAGUCUCAAAAGUUUUUAUCUCUAUUCAGAUUCCAAUUUUUACAACUCUUCCUCCUUUGUAGCUAUGGAGAAGGAAGGCAGCGUUUUCCGAUGCUUCAAGACCCGAUCGGGUUCGACCUUGCCAGACUUCGACAAGUGGCGCCCUGCGAUUCGUGAACGCUAUUUGCUCCAUGCUUAUCAUUCAUCUCGGGUUAGUUUCGCUUUAAUUUUCCGAUUGUGCUGCCGUUCAUCGAAAUGCCUCAUCAUCUCAAUUUCAUGCAUAAUGGCAGGCUAACGGUGAGCUUAACGACAUGGUUGAACAUUAUGAGGGGCUGGUCCUUGGUCAGGAAAAGGAGAUUGACGCGUGGAAGAAAAAACUUUCUGCUCUUGAGGCUGAACUAAGCUCUUCUACCGGCUCUAAGCACGACCUGGAGGACAAAGUCGACAGUUUAACAUCCGAGCUGGCGAAGAUUAAGGGGGAGCUGCAGGAUCAGUACGACCAAAAUUUCAAACUCCAGGAUGAGCUUUCUGGUGUUCAGGGUAGGCUUCACGAAUCCGAAUCAACCGCCGAUACCCUGAAUAACCAACUCAUUGAGCUUAACGCGAAGUACAAGGCGAUUGCCAAAUUGCGUGAUUCCGAGUUGGCAAGGUCGGCAUCGAAAGCCAGAAAGGAAGUUAAGGGACGCGGGAUGGAGUUGAUCCAAGGGGCCAUCCGCUUCAUGCAGACCGAGAAGGCUAGGUCAGAUUUGGAAUCAGACGUCAAGGAGCACGAGAGCAACCUGAUUCUGUUGGAUCAAAUCCAUGAUACGGAAUUCUCCGAGGAGCAAGAAAGGACCGAACUGUCAACUAAUCUUUCUGAAAAACGGAGUCGCUUGGCAGCUCUUCCCACUUCGACCUUCAACCCGCUUGACUUUGAGGAAUUCUUCACAGAAUCUCCUCCUAUAAUUGAAUCGGGUCUAGACUGGGCAGGUAACUUUUGGCUCUUGAUACUCAUUACCUUUUCUUACCUUGUACCUUUGAUUGACUGGAAUUAUUUUUCCUAGGCUCAAGUGAAACGGAAGACGUUGUCCCACCCGAAGUUCCUGCGGUGCCGGAGGAUGGUUGUACUGCGGAGGGUGGUCAGGGGGCUUCAUCUGAUCAAGCGCCAAUUAAGGAGGCGAGUGAAACUUUGACAACUGAGCCGGAGUCCGAGGUGGAGGUCGAUCCGUAGUGGCUGUGUCCACUUUAAACUGGGGAUUGUCCCAUUUAGUUUAAACUUAAUUUCGAACUUAUUUUUUGCCUAAGGAGGCUUUAAUAUUUCUUUUGAACAAGAUAUUUGCCUGAGUAGGCUUUUAAACCUUUCUAGGUUAUGACCCAAGGGGGUUUGGUUAAAACUAUGUGCGGGUUUGCAAAGUCCGCUUUUAACCUUUUGUGGCCUUGUGGUUAUGCUUUCGAGAUUUUUAGGUUGAUCAGACCUUUCUCUUUAGAAUGCGAGAACUGAGCUCGGCUUAAAGCGAGUUCCCCACUUCGGGUUUAGUCAACUCGAUAAAUUUAUUGGGCUUGAGCCUUAGAAAAUUUUGUAGUUAAUGCGCCGGUUGCUCUCUCCCUUCUUAUUUCUUAAAAGUAGGGAAAACGGCUCGUCUUUAAUGCAAUAACUGCCUUUUCUCGAUUUUCCAAAAAUAGUUUAAACCACUCGGGCACACUACCAUUAUUGGAUUUAUGGUUCCAAGACAAACCCUAAAUCAUUAUAAAUAAAGGCUUACCUACUUCUAAGCUUUAUUUAAACACGAUUUUAGAAUCUUACUUGAGAAAUAUUUCGAGAAUGGAAAACAAAAAAGUAGCCCCCAUUGAUCCCGGCAGCCCACUUUUCUUGUCCGGCGAUGGCUUUGAACCGGCCGGCGUUCUUUUCCCCCACGUCGUCUUUCACUUUCCUUCAAAGGAGAAGAAAGAGGCUUGCGAUUUUAUUGACAAGGUAAAUAUUUAAAGUUUUUGAUUUAAAAACUUUUUGUUUCAUCUUAUUCAUUCAUCUUUAUGCUAGGUUGCCGACAAGCACCGUCGCUUGUGUGAAGAGAGGCAACGGCUGGGCCUUAAAAGGCAAACACUCGAGGCUCGCAUUGCUCGGGUGGAGAGGAAGAUACGGGCCUUGGAAAGUGAUCCCUUUCAAUGGGAAUGGCGGAACUUUGACUCUGUCGCUGAGAUCCCGAAGGUGCUUCGGAUGUAUCUCCGCGCUAAAGGAGUCCCGGGUCCCGUGAACGCCCCCGUCUGCGCCGUUCCAUCUGACAGCGAAGAAGAAGACGAAGAGGAGGUCAGCACCUGUCGGAAACGCGUUCGGGAUCAUCCCGAAGUGGAUGCCAAGAACAAGGCGUCCACUUCGAAGACUAAACUGGCGAUGAAGGAGCCUGUUCCUGAGCCUCUUCCAUAAAUGUUCUCUAACUUCUUUACUUAUUUAAACUCGUAAUGGGCUUCGGCUCCUUUUUAUUUAUGGAAACAUUUGCAACUUUCCUUUCUUUUCAAAUAUUCUCGGAGAUGCGUCUUUUAAUGCAGGAUCUGUUCGAGGGCAUAAAUCUCUCCGCGAAUCACUCCAUUCCUAGGAUAGAACCCGCAGCUUGCUAGGGAUAUGACGUUCCUAUAAAUUAUAGUCUCAAUUUCCCUUUACUCCUCACCAUUCUUUUCAUUUUAGUAGGUAUGGAGUUCAAUCUUCGCUGUUCAGAAUCUAUGCCCGACUUCUCCAGAAUCGGAAUGAUAAACGAAGAUGUUCCAAAUGAGCCAAGCAGGCAGCCUCCUCCACUUCGCGGCUUCUUGAGAUCUCAGAUCCGAGCCCCAUGUGCUUUGAUCAGGGAUCUCCCAAUCAGAGACCAAGGAACAGCGACGGCGUUCAUAGAGGCGCUCGAGCUUCAACACCGGAAGCUUAUGUUGCAAAAGAGGAGACUCCGGAAGAGGAUUAACCGGAUGCAACGCAUGCUUACUAUGGUGUCAAGAGAUCUUCACAUCCUUGAAUCUCACCCUGGAGAGUGGAUUGAGCUUGGAAUCUCUUAUUUUGCUCGAAUUCCGCACUGCAUGAUGCCAAUCCUCGAUCUUGCUGGUCAAGGAGUUGAAGUGUUCUGCUCGUCAACAAGAUUUUCAUAGUCCGAAGUGUACGAUGAGGGACAUUCCGUCUUUUGAAUAAACGCUCUAUUUCCAAUCUCUUGUAUGUUCGCAUAGCCGAACCUUUAUUUGCUUCAUUUGUUCGCACAGUCGAACCUUUUUCCUUUAAUAAAGAAAUAAAACAAAUUUUUAUUAAUAGCUGAACUCGUUUCCGAGCUGCCUACGUACCCAUUUCGGGAUCAAGUCACACCGUAGUUCAUGUACAUAAACAAUGCAUGUAGCUUUAAACAUAAAACUUCUUUAGGUUGAUCACAUUCCAAGGUCGCUUGACUGGAUUGUCUUCUAAGUCUUUCAACCUAUAAACACCGUUCCGAACCACUUCGGUAAUAAUAUAAGGUCCUUCCCAAUUAAUACCGAGUUUACCGGCACCUUCUUCUUUUUUGUUGUCAAAGACGCGCCUUAAUACAUAAUCUCCCACGAAGAACGGUCUACUUUUAACUUUAGAAUUGUAAUACCGGGCUGCUGCCUGCUGGUAAUUCUGGAUCCGAAUCAAAGCUUGAUCACGUCUUUCAUUUAUGGUAUCUAGUGAAUCAUUAAGCAUUGCUGAAUUUUCUUCCUCAUUUAACGGUGCUUCUGUUCGGCGAAGUCCGGGCACAUUGAGUUCAGCUGGUACUACCGCCUCCAUGCCAUAAACCAAAGAGAAUGGAGUUUCCCCUGUAGGUCGCCUAGGGGUUGUACGAUAGGCCCACAAGACGGGUUGGAGUUCUUCAUACCAUCCUCCCUUUAGAUGACUUAAGCGUUUCUUGAGAUUGCUUAAUAUUGUCUUGUUCGCGGCUUCAGCUUGACCGUUCCCUUGCGGAUAUCGUGGAGUAGAAUAACUAACUUUGAUUCCUCAGUCCGCACAAAAGGCAUCAAACUCGUGUGAAAUGAAUUGUGGUCCAUUAUCAGUGACUAUUUCGUAUGGAACUCCAUGUCGACAUAUAAUGUUUUUCCAAAUAAAGGUCUUCACCGCCGAAUCCUUGAUACCAACAUACGCCUCAGCUUCAAUCCAUUUCGAAAAGUAGUCCGUAAGGACUAAAAGGUAUUGUACACCUCGAGUUGAUUUGUGCAAUGGUCCAAUGAUGUCCAUUGACCACCUCAUAAACGGGUAUGGGGCGGAAAUGGAGGAGAAUAAUUCCGACGGUUGAUGGAUCAAUGGUGCAUGGAGUUGGCAGCGCUUGCAUCUUUGGGCGAACUUAACACAAUCUGUAAUCAUAGUGGGCCAAUAAUAUCCCAUUCUUUUAACUUUAAAAGCCAUAGCCCUUCCUGAAGAAUGACUCCCACAUAAUCCUUCAUGCACUUCGCUCAUAACGAUUUCGACUUCGGGCCCAAAAAUGCAUAAUAGGUAAGGGUCACUGACACCUCGUCUAUACAAUGUGUCUUUUGACAGACAAAAUUUCGCACUAACGAUUCUCAUUUUUCUGGCUUGCCACUUAUUCUUUGGGAGCUCGCCUGUCAUAAUGUAGUGCUUUAUUGGCUCCCUCCAGUCAGCCCCCCAGUCUUUAGCCGGAAUUUGGUCAACCUUGUGAAAUAAUCGUGGCUCUGGCUCGGGAUGUUCGUUUGGUUCAAGAACAUCCUCCUCGAUUAACGGUUCGGUUUCUAACAUUGUUUCUGGAAUCACAUCUUCAGCUAAGACAACGGGUUCCUUGUUAGAUGUAUUUGAUCCCUUUGACUUCCUCCGUUUGUUGGGUGGCGGUUCGAUUUCUGGUUCGCCACGGUCGCGUGCCGCUGCUCGAGACCUUGUAAUGGCGAGGGUUUCUUUGCUAUCUUGAAUGCUUCGUUCCGAAAUGCAUUCCACUGGAAUAACUCUUUUCAACUCAGGAUCUGAUGUUGACGCUAAUGUGGCAAGUGCAUCCGCAGUUGUAUUCUCUCCCCGAGGUAUGCGGAUUAAUUCGAAUUUCGAGAAAUUUUUAGAUAGAUCCUUCACCACUUCGAGGUAUGCUUCCAUUCUUGAGUCUUUGGCUUCAUAGUCUCCAUUAAACUGGUUAACUACUAAUUGCGAAUCGCAAUAAGCCACUAUUUUUUUAGCACCAACUCCUUGUGCCAAUCGAAGUCCGGCAAUCAGGGCUUCGUAUUCUGCCUCGUUGUUGGAGGCAUUGAAUAACAAUCGGAAUGACUGUUCUAGAAUUUCUGAUGUUGGAGACUCCAACUUGAUUCCCACUCCGGAUCCUUGUUUUGUUGAAGACCCAUCUACGUGUAAUUUCCAAGUUUGGUUCUCCGGUUGUUCUAUCGUUCCAGGUAUUGGUAGUUCGGUCAGGAAAUCUGCUAAGACCUGAGCCUUCAUACUGAUCCGGCUUUUGAACUCUAUGUCGUACUCGCUUAAUUCCACCGCCCAUUUCGCCAAACGUCCGGACUGACUUGGACUAUGAAGUAUUGUUCGGAGUGGCUGGUUGGUUAAUACUUCAAUCGGAUGGGAUUGAAAGUACGGGCGUAGCUUCCGAGCCGAGGUCACCACCGCGAGUGCGAGUUUUUCCAUCAUUGUAUAUCUGGUUUCUGGAUCCGUCAUCGACUUACUUACAUAGUAAAUCGGCUUCUGUUCCCCGCGGUCUUCCCGCACCAAGACUCCACUAAUCGCAUGGUUUGAAACUGAUAUAUAUAAAUAAAGCUUUUCAUCCACUUCUGGCUUAGACAAUAUGGGUGGAGUGGUUAAAUAUGCCUUAAGCUGCCCAAAAGCUUCUUCACACUUCUCAUCCCAAAGGAAUCCUUUGUUUCCUCUUAGGAUUUGGUAGAAAGGUAACGACUUAUCUGUUGAUCUUGAGAUAAAACGAUUCAAAGCCGCGAUCCGCCCAGUCAACCGUUGUACUUCCUUGAAGUUUCUUGGAGAUGGCAUAUUUAGAAAAGCGUUAAUUUGAUUUGGAUUGGCUUCAAUCCCUCUUUCUGUCACGAUAUAGCCAAGAAAUUCUCCGGAUGGGACUCCAAAUGUGCACUUCGCCGGGUUCAGCUUCAUUUGAUAUUUAUUGAGAAUAUCAAAACAUUCCUCUAAAUGCUUAACGUGAUCCUCUUUCUUUAACGAUUUAACCAACAUAUCAUCUAUGUAGACUUCCAUUGUUUUCGAGAUGAUUAUGGAACAUCUUGUUAACCAACCGUUGAUAUGUUGCUCCUGCAUUUUUCAAACCAAAAGGCAUUACCUUGUAACAAUAGAUACCUCUAUCAGUGAUAAACGACGUUUUUUCUUAGUUUUCGGGGUUCAUCAUUAUUUGAUUAUAACCCGAGAAGGCAUCCAUGAAUGUUAACAGCUCGUUCCCAGCGGUGGACUCUACAAGUCGAUCUAUAUGUGGGAGCGGGAAACUAUCUUUGGGACAUGCUUUAUUGAGGUCUGUGAAGUCGAUGCAAACCCUAUCCUUCCCAUUCUUUUUCUUGACAACGACAGUGUUUGCUACCCAUUCCGGAUAUUGCACUUCUCUUAUGGACCCUAUCUUUAAAAGUUUAUCCACUUCGUCAUUUACUAUUUUCGCUUGCUCCACUCCAAGCUUUCUUCUUUUUUGUUUCACCGGUUUGAAGCUUGGAUCCAGGCAUGUCCGCUGCUGACCAUGCAAACGAUGUUUUGUUUUUCCUUAAGAGUUCGAUCAAAGCUUCUCUUAUUUGGCCAGUCAAAGUUGCCCCAAUUCGAACUUUCCGGUCCGGCUCGUCUUCUUCCAACACCACUUCGAUUACUACAUCAUCUUUCUUUUGCCCGUUAGGAAAUUUUGUUCUUAGUCCCUCUUUUUCGGGCUUCGUUAAUUGCUAUUGAAUCUUCAUACGGUGGCUAGCUAGAUAACACGUCCGUGAAGCUUCUUGGUCUCCCCGAAUUGUUUCUACUCCUCUUGACGUUGGAAAUUUGAUACAUUGAUGAUAUGUAGAGGGGACUGCUUUCAUUUGAUAAAUCCAGGGAGUACCGAGGAUAAUGUUGUAAGCUGCGGGCUUAUCGAAGACAACGAAGUCCACGAUCUUCGAUACUUUUUUGGCAAGGACCGGUAGCUUGAUUGUCCCGAGAGACAUGGCUGAUUCACUUGUGAAUGCAACUAAUGGAGACGGAGGCCCCACUAUAUCCGCCCGACUAAUUCCCAUUCUUUCUAGAGUACUUAAAAAGAUCAAAUCGACCGAACUGCCUGUAUCUAUAAGGAUCCUUGAUACUUCGAAGUUGGCAACGUCAAGGGUAAUGACUAGAGCAUCAUCAUGAGGUCUUUCGAGGUACCGCGUUUCUUCUUCAUUAAAUGAUAUUGAUGCACCUUGAAAAUCGACUUCUUCGCUUAAGCUUGCUUUGAGUAGGAUAUUUCGUCUAUGUUUCUUGAUGGAACUUAUCGAAUCUCCGCAAAAUUUGGAACCUCCUAGAAUAACAUUGAUCUUACCCUUAGAAUUCUUUGGUUCUUCCUCGUUGGUUAACCUUGGUCUUUUAGAAUUUUGAUCUUUGGAACUUUCCUUUGCUUCGUGGUAUUCCUUCACAAAAUCUUUUAUAUCGAAUUUGGAAAGAUCUCCACUAGCCCAAAGCUCUGCGAGGUGCCUUUUAAGAACGCUGCAAUCCUUGGUUAAAUGUCCGGUUACUUUAUGAAUGUCGCAAUAUAGACUUUCAUCACGGACCCAAGUGUUUGAUCUUCCUUUCCCUUGGAAUUGCUUUCCGACGGUACUGUUGAAGGGUUGCGACCCAAAUUUCCUUGGUCCUUUGCUCUCCCUAGGCUCGAACUUCUUGGUAGGGACGGUGAUUGCCGGCUUUUCUUGUUUAUUUCUUUUGGCAAAACUUUCUUUUUCGUCCUCUACCUCCAUCCAGUUGUUCGCGCGAAAGAGUGCAUCCUGAAUUGUGUCUGGUUUAUGAAGUAUUAAGUCUUCUUUAAACCUUGAAUCAUGUCGCAAUCCUUUUCGUAGGGCAGAUAAAGCUGAUUGCUGCGAGAUUCUUGGGAGCUUUGACAGCACUCCCUUGAAUUUGGUGAUGAAAACUCGAAGUGACUCAUUAGAUCCUUGCGAUAAGUUCCAAAGAUCGGCAUCCGAAACGCUUUUAUCCAUAAGGAUGGAGUAUUGCUUUAAGAAUACGGCUGAUAGUUCGUCAAAAUUGCUGAUCGAACCCGGCUCUAAUUGGGUGAACCACAUUAGAGCUUGGCCACAUAGAUUCUCCGAAAAAAGCUUGUAGUAGCCUGCGUCCUCAUCAGCUUCAUCCAAUUCGACUCUUCCAGCAGCGAUCAGAAAAGCUGCGAGAUAGCUUUUUGGAUCCUCCAAUCCGCUGUAAGGGUCCAACUUGAGUUUCCGGGAAUCUUUGAUCCUCAAACUUGCAAUUCGCGAGAUGAAAGGUGUUCGCCUAGCUUCUUCAAUGACUCGAUUGAUGUCUGGCUCCGAACUUGUAGCUUGAUGAAAUUUUGAUUUCAUUUCUUUUAAUUCCUGGCUAACCUUCCUCAUGGUCUCGAACUGGUCAUGGUUCUCCUGCUCGUAUUGAGCUGCAAGUUGUUCUUCAUCUCCGAGCUGUGUCUCCUCUUCCAAUGUCUGAACUACAUUAUUAGUAGCACCGGGAGUUGUUUAUCCGCUGGUUUCAUUUCGUGCAGCGGAACUUGGCGAGUUGAAUAUCCCUCUUCGGAUUCCCACAAGGUUUCCUGCACUUAAAGAGCGAACACGAGUUUGUAUAGUAUUGACGUUUUGACUAAGAGAUACCUGGGAUGUUUGCAACGUAUCGACGACCUUUUCCACAUCCGAGAACUUUUGUGAUAUGUCCGACAUGGUUUGCUGCAUAGCUUUGAGGGUUUCAGCCAAUGAUGUCUCAACGGUGUCUCCUCCGGACAUUGUUGCUUAUCUCGGAAGUGUAAUAAAGAAAAAUCUGACCACUCAAGAAUCCUAUUUCCCCACAGACGGCGCCAAAAUGUGGAUGUCGGAUUCACACACUCAAGUAUUUUUAUUAAGUAGAAAAGAUUACUCUUGAGGGACAAAAAUGAAUAUGUAAAAACUUAUAAAUUGCUGUGAAAAUUGCUAUAGUAUUUCUUUCUUCAGAGGAAGAUCCCUUUUACAUGGCCAUUGGCCUUCAUAUUUAUACAUAGAGAAACGACAUUAAAAUGAGUAAUUAAGUACAAUUAUUCCUUCUUAAAUGUGUCCGUUUUGAUUCCUUGACUUUAAUGCUCAACGUUUGAAUUCGAGUUGACUCUGAUCCUUAUGGGCCUCGCCUUUCGGCCCAAAUGUCCUUGGACCGACUUUAAUCAUGACCUCGUCUCCGGACUCGUGUCGAGGUGCAGUCACUUCGAAUUCUCCUUAUGGUGGUUACCACUUCGAUUGUUCUUUUGACUCGUGGGUCCGAUGGGCUUUAUCCUUUAUGGGCCGCUACCCUGAUUACGUGGCAAUCUUUGGUUGGUCCUGGACCUCUGGUGUGGGAUCCGACACCAACAAUUACGGGCUCGGGCUUUCUUAGCUAAGCAAACAGCCCGACCAUUAAAAAUACGAGGAAUAAACCUAGACUGAAGAGUUACAGCAAAAGAUAUAGAAAUACUACUAAUAAGGAGUUCCACCACGAAGGGAGGAUUCUCGUAGAUGCGGAGGGCUGUCCUUUUCUAGAAUGCCAAGCUCCAUGGUAACCAUUGCCACAAGGAAUACAAAAGAUUCCAAGCAGUUUUAAACUUCCAAUAUUGCGCCUGAAGUGCAUGAGCAUUCAUUCCCUGAAAAGGGGGGUCGCAAAAAGGACGAGAAGAAAAUCUCGCGAUCCAAAGUCCAAAGUCGUCGAUAAAGAGAAAGGAGCGAAACCAAACAAUUGUAAGCAGAAUUCUCGAACCAAGCAAAGAGAUACACAGAAGGUUAGUGUCCGUGAGUAUGAAUGAUGUAAAAGGGUACAAAAAACCUCCUCGUCUCGUGAAGGGAAUCACCAUAGAAAGCAUAGUGUUUUGGAACUCAACUAAGCUUCUCAGGAGAAGGCACAUUAGACGUUUACCAUGCCUGUGAGAGAUGCUAGCUGAAGAGGUCUCUCUUUCAUCAAAGAGGAAGUUAAACCCAUGUCUUCACGGGAGGAAUUAAUCGAGUCGGGAAAAGAUAGAUCUAGGGUCAAUAUUCCAAUCAUGCCCUGACCACCUUGAUUCAUUUUCCCAACCUUGAAAACUGACUUAUUGCAACCAAACGCCAUUGGCCUUAGCAAGCUGUGAUUACCCAAAUGAAGAAUGUGGUUGGUUUCACACCUUAAUAUUCGAUCCCUCUUAUUAUCGCGGUUCUUUGAAACCGGAUUUUCAAAGUCGCAAGAUAAGAGCAUCCAAAUUUUCGAACAAGGUCUCUUAAUAACCGGCAAUUGAUCACUCCCAAAAAAUAGAGUGGUCAGAGCGAAAUUACUAUCCAAUCGAUAAUGAUAUCCAUUGAAAAUUUGCGGAUUCUUAUUCUUAGAAACAUCUAAACAGAAACAUACUAAUCUUUUUAGUUUCAACAAGCCCAAAAACAAAGGGACUAACCACUAGCCCAAAAACCAGGAAGACAAAAGCUGGGCCAAAUUCAUUAGUAUGAGCAAGAGAUGACCCAUAUUCAUUAUGUAUUUUCGUGGCCUCAUCAGAUCUGGAGGAAUGAUGCAAAUUGCGGCAACUGAUUUAAAAGAACUAAAACGGUACUUGGGGGAAGCCGCAGAACCGGCGGAGGAUGCGGAGGAGAGUUUCGCGGUGGUACACGGUGGUAAAGAUCUACGGAGAACGCCCGAGAAAAUUCUAGAUUCGACGGAGAGAUUGGUUAUGAGAUGAGUCGGAAGUUGGAGGUCUAUAAGUUCGCGUCGUUUGUGAUAAAGAGACGACGGAGUGUAUGUAAUCAUGAGAGAAAACAGAGAGUUUUGGAGCUCAACUAAGCUUCUCAUCAGGAGAAGACACAAUAGAAAUUUGCUUCGCCAGUGAGGGAUGCUAGCCGAAAAGGUCUCUCUUUCAACAAAGAGGAAGUUAAAGCCAUGUCUCUCCUCAGGGGAGGAAAGAAUGGAGUCGGAAAACAAAAGAUCCAUGGUAAACAUUCCAGUCAUGCCUUUAUCACCUUGAUACAUACUCCCAAUCUUGAAUAUUGACAUGUUGAAACCGGACACCAAUGGCCAUAACAAACUAUGAUUACCAGCAGUGUGAAUGAGUUUGGUUUUACGCCUUAAUAUCUGAUCCCAUAUAUUCUCGCGGUUCUCUAAAACCGGAUUUUCAAAGUAGAAAAAUAAGAGUAUCCCCAUUGCCGAACAAGAUCUCUUGAUAAACGACAAAUUAUCACUAUCAAACAAUAGAGUGACUAGAGCAAAAUUACUACUACAUAAACAUGGGGAUCGUUUAGGUUUCAACAUGCCCAAUAACAAAGAGUCUAAACACUGGCCCAAAAACCAGGAAGGCAAAAGCUGGCCCAUGUUUAUUAGCCUAAGUAAAACCUGGCCCAAAUUCAACAGGUUCCUUACUGGGCUCUUCAGGCCCAAUAACAAAAAAUAUAUUCUCUGACCCAAAAACCAGGAAAGUGACCGGCCCACUACGAUUAGGGUUUCGUCCCUAACUCGAGAAGGACCCAUACAAACGAAACAGCGGCGGCGGUUAAACGGAGAGGCGAAAAACACCGAUGAAAAAUCAUUUCGGGCUGUUGGAGCCGAUCUCGAAUACAGAGACUGUUGCUUUGGACUCUCGGUGGAGGAAAUUGAUAGAAACUGAUUUUUACAAAUGAGCCAUAAGGCCAAAUUUCCUACAAGCCCAAUAAAAGUCCAUAACCAAAGAUUACUGGACCAAAUCCAACAAAUUCUCAAUAUGAUGGGCCAAAGUGGCUUGAAGCCCAGAAAACAUGCAAAUCCAGAAAGAUUGUUGGGCCAAGCCCAUAGUUGAUUUAAAAUUUGAAACCCUAAUCCACCUAGAUCGAAGGCGCAGCGGCGGCUGCCGACUGAGGCGAGGUUGACGGAUGAGACAUCCUUCCGAUUAAGGAGACACCUAUCUAAAAAUAUUCUCACCGGUGUGAUGAGCAACUGGUGGAGGAUGAAACAAGUUCUCGUCGGGAGAGAGCACCAGAGGUGUGAGAGAGAAGCCACAACGACGAGAUCGAGAUCUCCGGCAACCGGAAUUGGAAAGCCCACCAGAUACAUCCCGAUCCAGAUGGUGGCGACGAAAGCUAGCGGUAGAGGAUGGAUCCAACGAUGUAUUAAGAAGUAAUGGAAAAAACUUCGGAGAUACGUCCGAGAAGAGAACAAAGAUACAUCGGAGUAGUACCCAGACGAGCACACACACUGGAGGCGAGGUAUGACACAACAACCGGUCACCAUCUUUAACGGAAAUCCGAGCUUCCACGUUUUGGAAAUAGAUCUCACCGGCGACCAUGUCGAUCGAUGGAGGGUGGAAAAAGAUAUCACCGGAAUAGGAGACCGGUGGAGCUUUGAAGUUCUUGAAAGCGUGUUUAAAAAAUCUCCGACCACCAGAAAUGAAAUCGAAGUGAGAGGGCGGUGGUGGUCUGGAAGGUAACAAAAACCUAUAAAACGAUUGUGAAAAGAGAGUAAAAGAUGGUUUGAGAAAUCCCGACGCCGGCGAGCAACGGCUCCACCGGCGUCGGAAAUCAGAUUCAGAAUUUGCUCCUCGAUAAUUGUGCCUGAGAGAGACUCAUGUUACUGUCUCUUGCUCCCUGCAUUCAUCGAUCACAGCAAUAAAAGAAAAAUGACUUUUGAAGUUAUAAAAGAAAAAUGAUUGCCAAAAAUAAAAUGUAUAUUUUGAAUAUCACCACAAAUCAAAGUAUAUAAUAUCACCACAAAUCAAAUUCAUAUAUAUAUAUAUAUAUAUAUAAUGAAUUUGGUAUAAUAUAUAUAUAAAAUUCAUACGCAUUUUUCUUUUUAAAACCACCAUAUAUAUAUAUUAUAUAUAAAUAUAUAUAUAACCGACCUUUGAAUUUAUAAAAAAAAAACUGAAUCUAUAAAGAAAAAUGAAUUUAUAAAUAUCAUAAUAUAUACUUUGAUUUGUGGUGUUUAAGGAUAUAUAUAUAUAUAUAUAUAUAUGAGUUUUGCAUAUACUUUGAAUUUCAUAAUAUACAAAAUUCAAAGGUCAUAUAUUAUGAUUGCCAAAAAAAAUUAUUAUUUUAGUUUUUUGUAAUAUUACCAAAAGUAUAUACCAAAAUUUUAUUAUAUAAUUCUAUUGUGGUUUAUUUUUUUUUUAUCUUUUUUGAUAAAAUUAAGUUAUAAUUUAUUAUUUUAAUUGUUUAUAAAAAUAAAUAAAUAAAUUUAUUUAUAGAGAAAAAAAAAAUUCUUUUAUAUUUGAUUUUGGGUCAAAAUUGGGUUAAAAUAGAAUCAAAAUCGAUUAAUUUUGGUCAAAAUUCUGGGUAAGUCAAACCGGAUUAAAUAUUAUCGGUUAAUUGAUCGGUUCAAUUGGAAGCUUUUACGAACAAAUCCGAAAGUACGCGUAGUUUUAUUGAGAUUAAAGUUUUUUUUGGUGGUUUUUUCAGAAGUAAAAAGUUUGGGAUGGAAAGCUGAGAUUCCAACUAGUAUAGGACUGAAAAAUCAGCCAACCCUUGGAAAAUUGAUUCUACCCACUUUUCUAGUAUUUACCAGUUGAUAGAUUUCAGAUGCCUCUAUUUAGCUGCUAGGUGAUGUCAUAUUAGCUUCUUCAUGUUUGGAGGAGAUUGCGACAUGCAUCUCUUUUGACAUUUCAAGACCUGACAUACAUUGAGAAUGAUUAAGUUAUUUGUCUUCCCCAAUCUCUCUAGCUUUGCAGUUUCUUCUGCGAUUCCCUUUCUUUGCUUCUUUGAAUCUUGUUCUUCUUCAACAACCGCACGAGAGCUUAAGAUUGGACUAGAACAUGAAUUAGGUAUUAUUAAUAAGUUACCAUUAAAUUUCAAAUUCAACCAUGUGACAUGAAAUAGUUUAAAAAUUUGAAACUAUCCGUUAUGAACAAUAAUUCCUUAUUGGUGGUAUGUUAAAAUCUAUUAAUAAAUAACUAUACUACAAAAUAAAUAAAAAAUACGAUAGAGAAAAUAAAUUAAUCAAUUAAUUUUGACAAAACCAAUAUAUAUAGCCCUAAAGCUGAAAAAGAGAUCCAACGGUGGAGAAAGCUGCGUAGAUAUUGAAGAGCCAAAAGAAGGAAUCUAACGGUGGAAGGAAUAGCGUCAAACCUAAGCCAAAACCUCCCCAAAUUCUCCUUAUUAAAACCCCAUCUCUCUCCAUAGUCCCUCUCGCCGCAUCGCUUCUUAAACCUCGACGACAUCAUCCAUCGUCUGACUUCGCGCUCUCCUCUCUCGAAUUCCGAAAACAUGGUGAACAUUCUCUUCGACUUUGCUUAUAUCUUCGUCUUCUACAUAUUUAGAUUUAUAUUUCUUCGUUUCUUGAUCUAGGAUUUUUGCAGUCUCAGAUCUCACGAGAUCGCUUAAUUUCGUUGUUGUUUCUUUUCUUUGGUUUUUCUAAAUCCGUUGUGAAUAUCUUGUUCAGGCUCUUCCUAACCAGCAAACCGUAGAUUACCCUAGCUUCAAGCUCGUCAUCGUUGGUGAUGGAGGCACAGGUACGCUUCUGAAAUUUGAUCGUAUUUUUUCAUUGUCCUCAUCGGAAAGUAUUCUUGUUUAAGAGACGGAUUUGAGAUUUUGAUGAUGUACUGAUUGGAGUUGUACGAUUGGUUUUUGAUAAUAUCAAUGCUUGGUUACUUUGUUGAGCAUAUCUCUGCGAAAACGAUUCUUAGAUAAUCCGCAAUGUUGUUUCAGUGGCUCAGUUUUAUUUUGGUUCAACGUUUUUGAUUAGUUUUCUAAGCCUCUGAUUGCUCUUGGUGUUUUGUACAGGGAAAACAACUUUUGUGAAGAGACAUCUUACUGGGGAGUUUGAGAAGAAGUAUGAACGUAAGUUUAGCAGUGAUUGCUUGUGAAUGCACACAGUUUCUAUUCUUUAUGUCUCUUUACUGAUUCUGAUGUUGAGUCUUAAUCUCUUGUAUUGCAGCUACUAUUGGUGUGGAGGUUCAUCCUUUGGAUUUCUUCACAAACUGUGGCAAGAUCCGUUUUUACUGCUGGGAUACUGCUGGACAAGAGAAAUUUGGUGGCCUCAGGGAUGGAUACUAGUAAGUAUACCUAUCUCCAUUGAUAUGUUUGUGUGUAUAGUCUAUAUAGAAUAGCUCUGGUUGGUUUGUGGGUGAAAUUGGCAACUGAUUUGUUACCUGGACAGUGGGAAUAGGAAUCGUUUGUUGUUAAGUAAUCUGUUAAGAUCCCAAUGUGUAUUAGAUUAUGCAUAGUUUGGAAUAGCUCUGGUUAAAGUGUGAAAUACAAGAACAAUCUCACAUGCCAUGUUUGCAAUUGAUUUGUUACCUGAACAGUGAGAAUAGGAGUUGAAUGAUAAUGGUUGAUUUGAUUUGCCGUUUUGGAUAUAUGUCUAAUCUUUGGUUUUCUUGCAGCAUCCAUGGUCAAUGUGCCAUAAUAAUGUUUGACGUCACAGCAAGGCUCACAUACAAGAAUGUUCCAACAUGGCACCGUGAUCUCUGCAGGGUGUGUGAAAACAUCCCGAUUGUUCUGUGUGGGAACAAAGUCGAUGUGAAGAACAGGCAAGUGAAGGCAAAGCAGGUGACAUUCCACAGGAAGAAGAAUCUGCAGUACUAUGAGAUAUCGGCAAAGAGCAACUACAACUUCGAGAAGCCUUUCUUGUACCUUGCUAGGAAACUGGCGGGAGACCAGAACCUUCACUUUGUCGAGUCACCAGCUCUUGCUCCACCAGAGGUUCACCUUGACAUUGCUGCUCAGCAGCAGAACGAGGCCGAUCUCGCAGCUGCCGCAGCUCAGCCUCUCCCCGAUGACGAUGAUGAUGCGUUUGAGUAAAUCUUCCAAAAUGUCUGCCAUGGUUUCCUCUAUUAUGCUGUUUUGAUUUUGACGUUACAUAUAAAUCAAUGGUCUAUUUUAUAACAACAAUUGCGGGAAAUAUUGGGAUUGUUCUGUUUUGAGACCCGAAGAGAAUUUGCAGCUAAGUUUUUUCUGCCCAAAAGAAUAUGCGGUUUAUUCGAAAACUUAAUUCUAGUAUUCUACUCACUUUUCUAUUACUUUGCCAGUUGCAGCAUUUUAGAUGUGUCAAUAGCUACUUGGUUUUAUAAACUUAUAUCUAUCAGCAUAAAAAGGAGAAAUUUAGUUUAGUCAUAUUAGUGAUUCAAUUAUUUGCAUAAUAAAUCCUGUUUUCUCUUUUUCUAUGUAAUUCUUGUAGACCAUGGCAUGAAUCAUAUAUACAUUGCAAGUUUUCCUCAAGUCCAACAGAAAAAAGAAAAAAAGAGUAAAGAUGUUCACAUUUACUUUGGGAAAAUUCCCAAAAAAAAAACCCCAAGUAAUUUUUAUUUGGAAGUUUAAUGCCCAAUUCUUUUGCGUUGGUCUAAAAAUACCUUAGUUAAUUAAUUGUUGUCAAUUAAAUCGUAAACUUAUUACUGAUGGUCGUUUAAGUCAUUCGACUUAACAGACGUUUAAUCGGCUGACGGAAUCCCUAAACCCGGUUUACUGGUUAAGAAAACGUGGUUUAUUAGCCUAAUUAAAAGACUAUAAUGCCCUCGUUACUUUCCCCCAAAUCGAUAUAUGAGUAUGAGACCAAGAACCCUAGAUCAAAACUUCCAUUUUCACAACAAUUAGAGAGAUGUUGAGUCAAUGUUCUGGGUCUGAUGCCAAUUCGGUGAGCAGAAGCUGGGGUCCUCUUUGCAACUGUGGUAGGGCGACAACGAUUGUUAAAGCAUGGACAAACGAGAAUCCGGGAAGAAGAUUCUUCAGAUGUGGUGUUCAUGGGUUCUUCGAUUGGGCUGAUCAAGAGAAGCCAUAUGGUUGGCAGAAGGUGAGCUUAUUAGAAGCAAGAGAUGAGAUUCGUCAGCUUAAAGAGGAAAUAAAGAUGCUUAAAGAAUCUGUGAAGACGAAGAAUGAUCAAGGUAUCAGUGCUUCGACGAAUUUGGAAAGUGGUUUAGGGAUUAGAUACGAACAAGAGAAGGCAAAGCAUGAAAGUGAAGUUAUGGGUGCUAAUGAGAGGGAGAAAAUGCUUCGGCAGUUCAUUGUGUUGUCUUGGGGAUGCUUCAUUGUUGUAAUUGCCAUGAUACUUGCAAUGGGGAAGUAGUUUUCGUUUUGUUUGUUGUUGUUGUUGUUUUCUGUGUUGUUGUUGUUGUUUUUUGUUUUGUUGUUGUUGUGGUAUGACAAGUUUGUAAGUCUUGUUUGAACUAAUGGGAGUUUCAUAAAAAGUGUAUCCAACAUAAGAGCCAAAAAGAGCCGUUUAGUCAUAAGGAUCCCACCAAAAACAUACAAGGAUCCCACCAAAACAAUCAUCAUCCAACUUAAGCAGCAUCCUACAUAUCAUAUCAUCCUACAUAAUCCUAAUCCUACAUCAGAAAGAUCCUAAAAGACAUCAAUAAGAUCAGCCUAUUUCUUGCCAGGCUGCCAAACAUCAAACACUUUGUCAGUCCAUGGGGACAUAAAGAAAACAGGCGGUCUAGGAGCUUCAUCUUUGCCAGCACCUUUGCCACGACCCUUGCCAGCACCUUUGCCACGACCCUUGCCUUCACCAUUCUUAGUUCCUGGAGGGCGUCCACGAGCACGUCCCCUACCACUUGGAUUAGCUGCUGGAGCACUUGAAUGCUGAGGUACUUGUGUAGACUGACUUUGAGCAGCUGCUUCUUCUUCUUCAUCCUCUAACUGUUCACCCACUGUUUCUUCACCACCAGCUUCAGCAGCUGCUUCUGUACCAUUGUGAACUUCUGCAAAGAAAGCUUCAAACCUAGGAUCAUCGUGCACACGUUCUUCUACUGGAUCUUCCCCUUCAUCUGGUACACCUUGUGGCUCUGCAUUUGUUUCUUGUGCAGCCUCGUCAACACAUUCUUCAUUCCCGUCUACAGAAUAUGCACCAUCAUCACCUGCUAUUUCUUCCUCAUCUUCUACAUCAAGAUGAAAUAUAGGUUCACAGACGCCGGAGUCAAUGUAUAUGUCGACUUCACCACCAACCACAGCCUCACGACACAACUCCCUAAUUCCACCAUCUUUGUCUGUCUUGAUAACCCUUGCUGAACUUAUGUCCUCAUGCGGAAGCUUGUACCAAAUCGCUUCGACUUCACCACUCAAUCCCUUUUCUUUGCAAAAAUCCUCGAAGAUUGACCAUGUCAUCAGAUCAGGAUCCAUCAACAUGUCUUUAUCCUCGAACCCUCCAAUGUAAUCGAACGACUGCUCCUUGAUUGAUACAUCUCCUCGGUAGUGAAUGUUGAGUUUCAAACACUCGAAAUCACUACAAAAUAAGAAAUUCAGUUGUUAAUCGUUGUAAACAAAGUAAAACAAUAUCGAUCCAACCCAAACCCAUAAAUUUUUUGAAAUCGGAUAGCCCUAGAAAUUUUAAUCGAUAGAGAAAAAACGCGAAUCAACAUACCUCAUCUCUUCGAUAUACAAUCCACUGACUCAACACAUAUGCAACCGAUCAAACGCUUCAAAUCAUCGCCUCACUGAAUUUCUUAGGAGAUGAAACGAAGGAGAGAAUCGAGAGAGUUAGAGAAUUAGGGUUUCUGAUUUUUAGGGUUCGUCGAUUUCGAUUUGGGGGAAAGUAACGAGGGCAUUAUAGUCUUUUAAUUAGGCUAAUAAACCACGUUUUCUUAACCAGUAAACCGGGUUUAGGGAUUCCGUCAGCCGAUUAAACGUCUGUUAAGUCGAAUGACUUAAACGACCAUCAGUAAUAAGUUUACGAUUUAAUUGACAACAAUUAAUUAACUAAGGUAUUUUUAGACCAACGCAAAAGAAUUGGGCAUUAAACUUCCAAAUAAAAAUUACUUGGGGUUUUUUUUGGGAAUUUUCCCCAUUUACUUUCACAAGUUCGGAAAUAAAUCAAAAACCCUGCUUGAAAAUAGAAUGACAUUUUGUACAACCUACACUCAAUUUUUAUUCUAUGUAACACAAACUGUAGUUAUCAAUGCUGCUGCUAUCUGUAUAUUGUACUGUUAUCGUCAGAGAUAAGGUUUCUUAUCUGCAUCAGAUGUUCCUCAUUCGAAAUGUUCAAUCUGAGACGGAGAUUUGUUAUCCACGUUUCUUGUUCCCAAGUUAUAAUUGGUCCAGAUGCGUGCAAUCUCUCGAUACUGCAUCGGUAUGCAUCCAACUCUAACCUAUGAACAUCAGCAGCCUCUGAGCUUUUUAUUGGAGGAACCCCCAACUUCUUGAUCUUCCCGUAGCCACAAGAUGAUGACUCUGUGUCACUAGAGCUACCGGUUUCAAUGGGAUUGAAUGAAACAGCACUGAGACCAUCCGUAUCCAUGCUACAACUACCAACAGAAGAAGCAACACUCUCUCUAUCUUCUUCUUCUUUUCCUUCUUCAUGAAACUUUGGAGGAUAAGCUAAAACUCUAGUUUGAUUAUGUGGUUCAACCAAAGAGUAAGUCCGUUUCUUUAGACUUUUUGACAAAGGUACAUCAGACUCAUCAAGCUUGUCUUUGCUCUCAGAUGAAAUGUAGUCGGCUUUCGGAUUCACCUUUCUCCCUAAUUCUCCUGUUGAAGUCUGUGCGCUUAAUCUUGAUGCACCCUUCAUCCAAAUGGUACAAUAAACAAAAUGUCAGCUCAAAAACAGACUUUAUAAGAUAUAAUCACAGAGGAAAGAAACAAGUACCUGUCCGAUCAUGAUCCACUCGUUAUCCUGCCAAGAUUGUCUAACCCGAAUGUCGGAUUUGGUUACCUUGAACUUCACUGAAGAACCAAGUAAUCUAAUCAAGAAACAACCUUUUUCCAAAACCUUGGAAACGAUUGCCAUCUUCCACGAACAACUUUCGAAAACCUCAAGAAUGUCACCAGGACCCCAAGAAUCAAGGACUUGUAAACGAGGAGGCUCGGGCCUCAUACUCUUCCUCGGUACCCUCUCCGUACCACCAUCAUGAUCAUACAUGACAGUGUAAUAAUGCCCAUUUCCCGAUAUGAUCUCAGCAGACCACCAGGCACCAGAUGGAACCGAUGAUUUGCUCAACACUUCGACUUUAGUUCCCUUCUUGAAUCUCAUGAUUGCUGCUUCAAAAAUACCUUAAAGUGAAUAUCUUUUCACAUUCCAACUGCUUAUAAGAUCAGAAUUUAACAUCACAUAUGCUAAAAGUCUAGUGUUUUACAAUCAUUAUUGGCAAAAACUUCAAGUUCCUAAACAACAAAACAAGAUAACAUACAUCCAAAUAUCCAGAAAUAAGUUGGACCAAUAAGAUCCAUUAGAAUCUUUCACAUUCAAAAACUUCAACUUCAACAAAUUGGCAUAAAGAUUUCAGAUUAUUCUGCUUCAUAAUCACUAGAUUGCAGAAAAGUCCUCAAAUUACAAAACAAACAAAUCCAGAAGCAUACAAUGGCUUGAAAUGUUAAUGGAAAUUGAAAACAGAGUAUAAGUCAGUUCCUAGGAUCAAUCUUCAUUACUGAGAAAUUGAUUAGAGGAAGAGAAUCAAAAAUCUAUAAGCGGACAUCAAGAGACUUAAAACUCAAAAAUUCAAAUAAAAAAAAAAUCAAAAAUUUGGGGUUGUGAUUGUGAUUACCUUAAAACGAAGUUUUAGGUUAGUGAAUGUUUAACACGCAAAGAAAGCCAUGAAUGAUUCUACUACAAAGCUUUGUUUUUUUGUUUUUCCUCUUUGAUUUUCUGGGCAACCAAACAUGGAUCAAAAGGGCAAAUAAAACAAAAUUAAAACGUAUAUGCAAAUAUUUAGAAAAAGGAAAAAGAUAAAAUUUUAUAUUCCACAUCAGCAAGCCAAAACUAAAUCAAUAAUUAACUUUAAUUUUAAAUGAAGAAGAGAAUAUUUCAAGUUGCAAACCUGCAAAUGCAAGGGAGUUUUUUUAUCCACAACUCGCAUCAGAAAUGGCCUUUUGUGUUCAUUUUAUUUGAUAUAGGACUAGUUUUGAAUAAAUGAGUAAAAUAACCAAAGAAAUAUAAUAUGGUAAGUGACAAUAACUUGAUGUUUUGUUGGAAGAUUAUUGUAAAGAUGAAUUUGUUAUCUUUUCUUAUAUUCGAUAUAUCUAAAAGAGUUUAUACGAAUUCUUGAGAUUCGUGGAAAAAAAAGUAGAUAAAGAAUGCCAACCCAAUAUAUUUACUAUUUAAAGUUUUUAAAAUUACCAACCAUAAUUGAAAUAUUGAACACUAGCCUCUCAACUCUAUAUGGGAAAUUAUUUAAGCGUUAGUCCACUAUGAAUUGGUUAUUGUUACUAAAGUAUUCGUUGAUUUCUUUUUCUUCAUAGGAUUGGUGUAUAGCAUUGAAUUAAAUCAAUAAAUGAUUUUGAUAUGGAUCUGAUUUGGGUUGACAAAAAAAAAAAAAAAAAUUAAAUGGAAACAUCAUGUUGUAAUAACGAAACUAGACAAAUUUUACACUUUCGUUAUGUUUAAUGUUAUGACUAAACUAAUGACAAAAUUUUCAGAAAAUUGUCACUAGUUUCAUCAUUUUGAGACUUAACAGAUCCACUGAGAUAACUUUUUGGAUAUCGUUUGUGUGAUUACUUAUGCUUAUAGCCGUAUAGCCUUAUGUACUUAAUUAUAGGAUAAUCAUAAGUCUAUAAUUCAUAUAACAGUUUAUUUGACGUUACGUUAUUUGUUUGUUUCUUGGUGAGCACGAGCAAAGUGCGUGUUCCGGUGUGCCAAAAGUUUCGACAUAAUUACUUAUUUUAAAACAGUUACUAGAAAAGAAAAGAAAAAACGUAAUGGGGAUGGUCAGGUCAGGUCAGGUGGCUUUAGAUAAUUCCCGAUUCACUUUUGAAUUUUGAUCAUAAAAAAUUUGAGAUCGCUGGAUCCAUAUUUUGGCUUCUAACGACAAAACGUUUGAUAAUUUUGUCGUUGUCUUGCAGUAUUAUUUAUUCAUAUCUUCUGAUUUCACAACAGACCGUGGCAUCACCUGUACAAUUUAUUGUAUAAUUAUUUGAAUAUUCACAUUAACUCCAUUUGGUUCAAACUCAAAAAUUUCCUAAUGGCUCAUAAGAUUUUAUAACUUUUGGAUUUCGUUUCUUUGGAAAUUUUAAUUGCUUCCUAAUUGUAUGUAUAAUCAAGAACAUAAUCCAAAAUCUUGUCUACUAACACACUUUUGUUUUGGUUUUGGUUUUGGCUUUUGCGGAUAGAAUGAAGCAGUGGUUAUGCUACUGCGGUUUCCACGCAUGAAGCUUCACUCUUACAUCCUUCACUUCUGAUCCACUCUAACACCGGAUCACAGUCCUCUCGUCUUACGAAAUGCCUUCAUUAACAGAUUCAAACCAUUACCAAGGGAAGAAUAUAGUAACCAAAAGAAAGCCUAAUUCAGUGUUAUGUUUGAUCUUUGUACCUGUUUUUGGAGCGGUACAACUUUAGUUCAGAAGCUUCUCGAGAAUCUCUUACGUCUUUGCUCAUUCUUAGAGACUCCGGUAUCUCCACCGUCUCUCCUUCGCUCUCAUAAGCAUCAUAUAUGCAUUGAAGUAUCGAAUCCUGCGAGAACAAACGAAUUAUCACCAUGCUUGAUUGACAGUAUAUAAGAGAUUGAGUAUAACAGAGAGCCUCUUAAGUUUUUAAACAUAUACCAGAGGUUUAGAAGCAUUAAGCCAGUGGUACAUAGGCUCACACCUGAACCAUGUCAUUUGCCUUUUUGCAAAGUUUCUGCGUAUCAAGCAAACCAAGUAUACCGAUUUUAGCUUUAAACCUUUAGAGCAAUUUUUUUAAUAAAGUUUAAGAAAUUAAUACAAAAUGAUUGUUCACACAUAGACGUUACUCUGCAACUCUAGUUAGUUAUCAAAAGGCCUACCUUAACACGGAUUUUACUAGGAUAGCUUCGAAAUACUAAUAUUUUGUCCAAAAGCUUAUACACUAGAUAUAUCAAGUCUAUGUAGAGGAAUCACCUGGAUGCUGUCUGAAAUUUGUUCAAGAAACCAUAAAAUUCCCUAGGGGAACUUUCACCAUCAUAUCGACGACAUUUCAGUAGAUAUUCCAUGGCCUGAAAACAAGGAAUAAAAUUUCCAUUGUUGAUCCUAAAUGGUAUAGAGGUACUAAAGUACGGCAAAUAAAUUGAUAUGAUGAACUCGUAAAGUAUUGCAUUUUUUCAACUAGAUAAGAAUAGACUUCCUUUUCUGAAGCAACUUGGUAUAUGUGGAUGAUGAUAUACUAAUGGAAACGGCUAUAUGUCUAAAACAAAAAAUUAACUGUUAUAUGUUAUGGCAUGCAAUUUCUAGAAACAAAUCCAUAUUCUUCACUGAACUGGACAUGCUGCAAAAUUAACAGCUACAGUCCACUGCAGAUCCCUUGGCUAAUUCUAACGACCAUGCACUAGAUUAACACAUGAAAGCCUUCUCUUCUCAGUUCGUUAUGCACAACCCAGUACAAGAAAAUAAAGAGUUUACCUGUCUGUACCCAAUAGCACGAGUUGCAGGAUUUGUGUUUGGAAGAAGACCAAGAUCAAGAAGCCAUCUAGCUUCUGACAAAACUCCAUUGGGUCCUGGAGUUGAGAGACAGAGCAUCAAGGAAAGAUGAACUCAGAAGCAAUGCCAAGCAAACAUAGAUAAAAUUGCAUACGACACAGCAAAGAGCAUGCAAAUUGUCUUUUUUGGGGGUUAUAAUCAGAAGAAUCAGAUAAGAAAAGACUUAUUAUUACUGUAAGGUGCCAUGGGAAUGCAAUUAUAUCCUUGCAAGUUAUUACUAAUUAAGUAGUAAUACUUAUAUUUUACCUGAAAGCAUGUCUUCACAUCUGAAAUCAAUAGAUCUGUAGAGAGCAACCCGUGGGCUUGACAAGAAAAAACAAAGGAAGUCAUAGUCCAAAUCUGUCUCUAUGUUUUGGAUGGAGAUAUCAGCAGAUGAACCAUCCUCAAGCAAGUCAUCGGCAUCAGGAGAAUUUAAAUUUUCUCGAAAAGAAUCAUAUGGAAUGCGAAAGGAAGACGGCGGAGAUCCAGUUGACUGCCAGGGACAAACAUUCAAAGCAAGAUUAAUAAUGCAUACAAUCCAAAAUAAAACAAUGAUAGUUCAUCAACCUAGAAAUCAUUUAUCUACAGGAGCAAGAAAAUUCGAAGCAACGCCUUAAAGCAGAAAGUUGAAGUUAAUAAUAGUCAAACCUUGAGUAUCUCGAGGCUACGACGUAGUCUGUACCAAUCAUUACGAGGUAAAGAACAGGCUUUUGGAUCACCAGCAUUGACCACCAAUUCCACAGCUGCUUCCCAGUUAUAUUCGGUUUGAAAAUCAACUAGCAUAUCAUGGGCCUCAGCGAUGACUUCUGGAGAAGGUUUAGGCACAUCCGGCUUCCCAUAGAUAAACCUAACAUUAACAAAAGCAUGUAAAUUUAUGAAUUCUAGAUUUUGCAGUAUACUAUAACGCUUUUAACAUUAUACGAAAGAGCCACUAGACAAGUAUAUAAUCUACUGCUAUACCAUCGCAGAUACAAUCCAGUGCCACCCGUAACAAUGGGAACACGCCCUCUAUUAAGAAUAUCCUUGGUAGCUUGCCUUCCAUCAUCAAAAAAUUGCCCCACAGAGUAGUCUAACAAAGCAUGAAAAAAUGUGUAAGUAUCAGAAAUAUCUACACUUGUGGCAUUUGCAACAUCAACAAAGCUGACAAAUACCUUGAGACGGAUGCAAAAUGUCGAUAAGAUGAUGAGGCACCACCUGAAUAAUUUGUACAACAUACAACUUU
rnacentral:lncRNA from 1 species